AGAAAUCAGUGCUGCAUGUCUGAAGGUACAGCAAAUGCAAUGGCCAUGGGCAGGGGCAGGUUUUGUGUAGGAGCUGCUUUCGUCAUAGCAAUUUGGAUGACCGAAGUCUCUUGCGCCCCAUUUGGAGGGACCAACGGGAGAUCCAAAGAUGAGAACGGCCUGGGAAAUGUUCCACAAAAUGACCUAGCUGAAGUCAUUAAAAUGCAACAACUAAUUGAGGCCCUGUAUCAAGACCACUAUAUUAUAGAAGAAUACCUCAAGUCUGCCGCAAAAGCUAGGGCCUAUGACCACGUGAGCACAGUCCCCCUGGCCUCUAACGUGACUCAAGCCUCUGACCCCCUGGCCUCUAACGUGUCUCAAGCCUCUGACCCUUUUGCC